GACGAACGCUGGCGGCGUGCUUAACACAUGCAAGUCGAACGAUGAACCGGAGCUUGCUCCGGGGAUUAGUGGCGAACGGGUGAGUAACACGUGGGCAACCUGCCCCAGACAUCGGGAUAACCAUUCGAAAGGAUGGCUAAUACCGGAUAUGACCACUUCGGGCAUCCGAUGGUGGUGGAAAGGAUUCUGGUCUGGGAUGGGCCCGCGGCCUAUCAGCUAGUUGGUGGGGUAAUGGCCUACCAAGGCGACGACGGGUAGCCGGCCUGAGAGGGCGACCGGCCACACUGGGACUGAGACACGGCCCAGACUCCUACGGGAGGCAGCAGUGGGGAAUAUUGCGCAAUGGGCGAAAGCCUGACGCAGCGACGCCGCGUGAGGGACGAAGGUCUUCGGAUUGUAAACCUCUUUCAGCAGGGACGAAGCGAAAGUGACUGUACCUGCAGAAGAAGCACCGGCUAACUACGUGCCAGCAGCC
rnacentral:rRNA from 1 species